GAUGAACGCUGGCGGCGUGCCUAAUACAUGCAAGUCGAGCGAACAGACGAGGAGCUUGCUCCUUUGACGUUAGCGGCGGACGGGUGAGUAACACGUAGGUAACCUACCUAUAAGACUGGGAUAACUUCGGGAAACCGGAGCUAAUACCGGAUAAUAUUUCGAACCGCAUGGUUCGAUAGUGAAAGAUGGCUUUGCUAUCACUUAUAGAUGGACCUGCGCCGUAUUAGCUAGUUGGUAAGGUAACGGCUUACCAAGGCAACGAUACGUAGCCGACCUGAGAGGGAUGACGGCCACCAGGGAAGAGAGACCCGGUCCAGACCCCCGCGGGGGGCCGCAGUAGGGUAUUCGCCGCAAGGGGCGAAAGCCUGACGGAGCAACGCCGCGUGGGUGAAAGAGGUUCUCGGAGCGAAAAACUCUUUUUUUUGGGAAAAAAAAACGUGUAAAUAACUGGGCACGUUUUGGGGGUACCUAAACAAAAAGCCCCCGCUAACCACG
rnacentral:rRNA from 1 species